GUGGGGGGGGGGGAGAGGAGACACCAUGAAGAGGAAAGGCGGAUACUGGAGGAAACCGUGACCCCACUGACCCCUCGCACCUCAGGUUUAUCAUCCUGUAUGAUGACAGAGGCUCCGUCCCUCACCCAGCCCUCAGCCCCACAUGACACCAUUGUUCUCUCCUUGGCUGACUGGGAAAGGAAACAGGAAAUGUUGGAGAAACAGGCACAGACAAACCAGAGUAGCAGACUUACACACAGCCCUGAUCAAGUAAUCACCACCGUCACGGCUCAGCAGAUGGUCC